rnacentral:misc_RNA from 1 species
GAUGAAGAACGUAGCGAAAUGCGAUAAGUAAUGUGAAUUGCUGAAUUCAGUGAAUCAUCGAAUCUUUGAACGCACAUUGCGCCCGCCAGUAUUCUGGCGGGCAUGCCUGUCCGAGCGUCAUUUCAACCCUCGAACCCCUCCGGGGGGUCGGCGUUGGGGAUCGGCCCUCCCUUAGCGGGUGGCCGUCUCCGAAAUACAGUGGCGGUCUCGCCGCAGCCUCUCCUGCGCAGUAGUUUGCACACUCGCAUCGGGAGCGCGGCGCGUCCACAGCCGUUAAACACCCAACUUCUGAAAUGUUGACCUCGGAUCAGGUAGGAAUACCCGCUGAACUUAAGCAUAUCAAUAAGCGGAGGA